UGUCUGUAUGAGUAUGUAUGCCUGCCCUUGUGAGGAAGAGAACAAUUUCUGUCCUGGGUCUCCUCGACAGACAAUAAAGUCUGAUUUGAUGAAGUUCCAGAUAGACGGACAAAAAGCAGGGGAGGUAAGUGCGAAGCUUGUGGCAGGGAUUAUCGGACCUCAGACUGUAGAUGCGAAACAAGGUUCAAAGCUUCGAUUCAAAGACCGAUCAUCAGAAAUCGCUGAUGCAAGCAUUUCUGCUGGCACACAGAUAGCUUUGUACAAGAAUGAGGCUGAAAAAUUUCCUGUCUGGAAAUAGCACGAAUGUCAUGACUAUGCAAAUUUUCAUGAAGAUUCAUGCACUUUAUUAGUGGAUUUCAUGCACGAGCAGUAUAUCCUCACAGUAUUACCUACAUCACUUAUAACUUUUAUAAGGCUGUAAAAUAAAAUCAUCAAUUUUGAGGGGUCCAAAUUUUGUUUGCCCAUUUAAAAUCAAAGCAAAUAUUGAAACCACUAAAUUUUUCAAAAUAUGCAUACAAUAGUAGGAAAUUGUAUCAUUCUGUAGGGUACAUUGAAAAUGGUGGCAAUUCUCAAUGUGUGAAAUAAAAAAAGCCACAUUGUAUCUUUUUGUGAGUCAUGUGAUCAGCAGAUACAACAAAAGAGAACCCUUGAAUUUAUCUGUGUUAAUCCCACCUUGACCAAGCUAAAAUCUGUCUUGAAGAGCCCCAAUUACUGUGAGCACUUGAUAGUAUAUCAUUUCCUAACUUGAUUAUUUUACACACAUCUUCAAUAACACUUUCUGCUAAGUAGAAAGUUACAGGAGAAUUAUCUCCUGGACAGACGGGGAAAGCAAAAAUAAGACUGGUCAAAGAAGCUGGAUUCUAAGAUGCAAUUUUUAUUUUUAUAUUCUGCAUGUGGCUUAAGUGAAGGGUAUCUGCUUUUUAAGACAAAUUGAAAUGCUCAUUAAUUUUCCUUUCAAUGAAAUCACAGGUUUAAAGGUAAUGUUUGGAAGAAAUUAUAAUGAGGCCUUAAGUGAGAAAAGCUGUUGUAUUAUGUAUCAAGACCAUUCUUUUGUAUCCAAGGACUAAAUAGUUUACGCUCGCUGAACUUACACUUGCUACUGGAAGUGAAAGGACCAAUCUAAAUUCAGGCACACUGUUACACUGUGAAAUUGGCACCUUUAAUCACUGAGACAAACAAUCUGUAUUACAAAGAUCAAUAUUUUAGUGAACUACACUAUGUUGUUAAGAUGUUUGGUGAGAAGCAAUUCAGUGUACAUUGAUCAAUGCACAUAUGCUCUCUCACUCAUACAAACAGCGAUAAAGUACAGUCCAGUUCAUAUAAAGCAUGGGCUGCACAGAAAGAUUUUACCCUUAAAAAGACAACACAACUCUAAAAUUUUCACCAUUCAUCCUUGUGCAAAAAAGUCCAGAUUUAAAAAGACUUUGUCCCUGUUUAAUGCAGUUCAGCACACAUAGGAAAGAACUUGCUAGUUACCAUAUCAGUGGUGUCUGAAAAUGCUUUCCUUCCCAAAUAGCACCUUAUCCAACACUGAAAGUGUAACAUAGCUUCACCAUCACAAUCUCAAAUAUAAACAGUAGGAUAUUUCACAGGAAAUGCCUUCUGUUCUUACAUCAUACUAUAACAACAGCCAAUAUUCCUUCCUCCCAGUGUUGAGAGAUGUUUGUAUUAAAAAAAUGUUACUCUUAGACUGAUGACAAAAAAUAUUUCAGUAUCGAUGGUACCUAUAUAACAAGAAACAUGCAGGAGAAUCAAACUGAAGGGCAUUUUGCCAACGAUGCUGAUGUCAACAUACCACUGUAUGCUGUUUGACAUACAACA
rnacentral:lncRNA from 1 species